UACUUUUUGUAAUUUUUCUGUUCUAGAUUAUCUUUGCAGCUAUCUCAGGAGAUUCUGAAGUCUACAUGUUUCCAAGACCAAGGUGGUAGAUUAAUAAAAAGAAGUUUAAUUGGUUUCCAUGUGUAAAGACCACUUCAGCUCUCAUCUAUAGUUCUUCUAGCAUGCAUCACUGAAGAAAGCAAGAACCUUUAAGCUUGCUCUCUCCAUCUGCUGCUGAAUUAUGAAGGCAGGACUAGCAGCUGCCACUAAAAAAGGGAAGACAUUUGGAGUCAGUUGCUGUCUGGGAGCCAAUUUGUCUGUGCCGUCAACAAAUGAAUCUAGGAGUACCACCCAUUAAAAACGAUUUUUUUUUUUCCCUCUGGGAUCCCUAUCUUCAGUUUGUUCUUGAACUGUGAGCUAUGGAUUUUUGCUUUUAGUCUAGUUGUGUAUUUCAUCCUGCAGAAGUUGUCAGAUAAGCACUGCCUGAUGGUGAUUUAGAAUUCGGCUUUGUAAUCUAACAGUGACUAGCAUCUGACUGAACAAGCACCUCUUUUGAAAUAAGUUACAGAAGAAAUUAUUCAAUGCGAUCAGUUGAUGAGACAAAUAUAUGAAAUCUUAUUCCCUGUGGAUAAUGGAAUAACUUAGG
rnacentral:lncRNA from 1 species